GGAGGGCCAUAGCUCAGUGUGAGAGCAUCUGCCUUCCAUGCAGAAGGUCCCAGGUUCAAUCCCUGGCAUCUCCA
rnacentral:tRNA from 1 species